rfam:Legionella pneumophila subsp. pneumophila str. Philadelphia 1, complete genome.
CGGGGUGUAGCGCAGUCUGGUAGCGCGCCUGCUUUGGGAGCAGGAUGUCGGGGGUUCAAAUCCCUCCUCCCCGA